GAUGAACGCUGGCGGCGUGCCUAAUACAUGCAAGUCGAGCGAACAGACGAGGAGCUUGCUCCUCUGACGUUAGCGGCGGACGGGUGAGUAACACGUGGAUAACCUACCUAUAAGACUGGGAUAACUUCGGGAAACCGGAGCUAAUACCGGAUAAUAUAUUGAACCGCAUGGUUCAAUAGUGAAAGACGGUUUUGCUGUCACUUAUAGAUGGAUCCGCGCCGCAUUAGCUAGUUGGUAAGGUAACGGCUUACCAAGGCAACGAUGCGUAGCCGACGUGAGAGGGUGAUAGGCCACACUGGAACUGAGACACGGUCCAGACUCCUACGGGAGGCAGCAGAAGGGAAUCUUCCGCAAUGGGCGAAAGCCUGACGGAGCAACGCCGCGUGAGUGAUGAAGGUCUUCGGAUCGUAAAACUCUGUUAUUAGGGAAGAACAAAUGUGUAAGUAACUAUGCACGGCUUGACGGUACCUAAUCAGAAAGCCACGGCUAACUACGUG
rnacentral:rRNA from 1 species